UACAACGCACUACCUGUUCAUAGUAGUCGUUGCUGUCAACAGCACACUGCUCACCAUCAACGCAGGGGACUACAUCUUCUACACAGACUGGGCGUGGACGCCCUUCGGUGUGUUCUCGGUGUCGCCGUCCACAUUUCCAACUGUAGGUGCAACUUCCUACAUAUUUUUCACCGUCUUUCUAGGCACCGCAACCUAUUAAGCCAAUAUCAGUACCAUUGAAACAUGCGCGGAACAGUGUACCUGAUCUGCACUUUGACACUCCUCCUACUCCAUCAGGGGGACAAGCCGAAAUCAGCACGCUGCCUUACUGAUGGGCGUUACGCUGGUUGGCCUAGCCUUCCCUCUGUUCAACAUGGUCAUCCUGUUGCUUGUAAGGGACCCGCUCGAGAUGGCCUUCAAGUAUCCAAGACCUACUCUGCCCGCGUACAUGACGCCUAUAGAGCCUCAGGUAGGGAAGUUCUACAACUCGCCUGUCGCCCUGGGUUCAGGUGCCGGGGCAGUGCUAACGGUACCCAUCGCUGCGUUGUGUGCAAAACUAAACACGUGG
rnacentral:rRNA from 1 species